AUGCGUGCUUAUGCAGACAAGAAAGCUGGUACUAUUGUUCAUCUUGUACUGGGGACAAGUUUUGACUUGGUUGAAGAACCUUAUGAGUUUUACAAUAUUACUCGUGGGAUACUGUGUUUUUGGCGUCAGGGUAAACCAUUGCAAUCAAAUAGCCGUUCCACACUUUGUGGCUUCACUGCCAUGAUGAGUUUUUUUGGUUCAGUAAAAGAGGCGCCAUUCACCAAAAGGUCUCUGAAGAAGCUUAACCAAGAGCAAUCAGGAAAUGAUGCAACAAAGACCAUAGAGGUGUUCAACGCGAUGAGGGAUGAAGAUCCUGAUUUCACAUACAGUGUACAGGUCACAAGAGCACCGCUUUUCCGCAACGAGGAGAUCUUCCAAAGGCGCCGAGGAAGUCGCUUCGAUGAUCCAGAUGCAGCUGGUGAUGUUACGGGAAGAACACUUGCACCAACCCGCCCAAAGCAGACUUUGGAGACUGAUUUUAGAAUGGCUCGUAUUUGA
rnacentral:rRNA from 1 species